GCAUAUAGUUAGCUCAGUAUACCAAACGCGUACACUCAAUCACAUCAGAAAGCCAUAUGCAUCAGUUGUGGUUAAUAUAUUUAGUUGUCACUCCGUAUGCCACUUCGGUCAAUGACAAGUCAUAACAACCAGCGGUCUUUCCUCCAACAAGUAUAUUCUCUUAAUGUGGACAUUGGCAAUUCGAUGGUGUCAUCCUCACGGAUCAUAGCACCAAACCCCAAGUCUGUUUAAUCCCAUAAUCCCACUCA
rnacentral:lncRNA from 1 species